rnacentral:rRNA from 1 species
UACGAAGGGGGCGAGCGUUGUUCGGAUUUACUGGGCGUAAAGGGCGCGCAGGCGGCUUAUUUUGUCAGGCGUGAAAGCCCCGGGCUUAACCUGGGAACUGCGUUUGAUACGGAUGGGCUAGAGUUCGGGAGAGGAGAGUGGAAUUCCCAGUGUAGAGGUGAAAUUCGUAGAUAUUGGGAAGAACACCGGUGGCGAAGGCGGCUCUCUGGACCGAUACUGACGCUGAGGCGCGAAAGCUAGUGGAGCAAACGGG